AGGACGAACGCUGGCGGCGUGCUUAACACAUGCAAGUCGAGCGGAAAGGCCCUUCGGGGUACUCGAGCGGCGAACGGGUGAGUAACACGUGAGUAAUCUGCCCAUCGCUUCAGGAUAGCCAUCGGAAACGGUGAUUAAUACUGGAUAUGACAUUCCUUCGCAUGUUGGGUGUGGAAAGUUUUUCGGCGGUGGAUGUGCUCGCGCUAUCAGCUUGUGGUGGGUAUGGCCUACAGGCUUUGCGGUAGCCGGCUGAGAGGGUGACCGGCACGACGUGGGACUGACGACGACGCCCAGACUCCGACGGGAGCAGCGAGUGGGAU
rnacentral:rRNA from 1 species